UACGUAGGGGGCAAGCGUUGUCCGGAUUUAUUGGGCGUAAAGAGCGUGUAGGCGGCUUGGUAGGUCCGCUGUGAAAACUCGAGGCUCAACCUCGAGAUGUCGGCGGAAACCGCUUGGCUAGAGUCCGGAAGAGGAGAGUGGAAUUCCCGGUGUAGCGGUGAAAUGCGCAGAUAUCGGGAAGAACACCUAUGGCGAAGGCAGCUCUCUGGGACGGUACUGACGCUGAGACGCGAAAGCGUGGGGAGCGAAUGGG
rnacentral:rRNA from 1 species